UUUGUUUGUUUGUUUUGGAUAACUGAUCCCACCUUAAUGUGAACAUUGGUGGAAUUAUUUUAAAUGUGACCAAGAAAAUGAGCUGUCAGGAAACAAAAAAAGUUCCAUCUAAGAUCUGUAUUCACACCCAGCUACACAUCAAACAGCUUGAGCUUGAUGGUUUGGUGGCAAAAUGUGGUUCUCUAUGCACCCACUGAGCUCAACUCAUCUAUUCCUACUGAAGGAACAGACGUUCCUGAGGAGCUCACCAAAACAGUUACAGAUAAGUGGGUAAUUCAGGGGAGUAGCUGCUGAACUGUUUUGAAUAUUUCAGUGUCAUAUCUUCAAAGACUGGGAUGGUAUUUCUCAUUCAGACAAGAAAAAGAGAGAAUGUUUUUCUACUUUCAAGUAUUUUUCUACUUUGUCCAUCUCCUCUUUCCUUCUGUAAUGAAAGCAAUAUGGAUAAACUACUUCAUAUGGCAACUGAAGAUCCACUGAACAGACAGCCUCAUGUGUCAUUUUUUCCAUCCAACUCUAAUGGGAAUAUACAUCUUGUUACCUGUGGUUGGUCCCUGGCUGAAUGA
rnacentral:lncRNA from 1 species